AAAGCUCAAAUUUAAAAUCUGGUGGUCUUUGGCCAUCCGAGUUGUAAUUUAGAGAAGCGUCUUCCGCGCUGGACCAUGCAUAAGUCUCCUGGAAUGGAGCGUCAUAGAGGGUGAGAAUCCCGUCUUUGGCAUGGACCCCCAGGGCUUCUGUGAUGCGCUCUCAAAGAGUCGAGUUGUUUGGGAAUGCAGCUCAAAAUGGGUGGUGAACUCCAUCUAAAGCUAAAUAUUGGCGAGAGACCGAUAGCGAA
rnacentral:rRNA from 1 species